rnacentral:rRNA from 1 species
UGGGGAAUAUUGCACAAUGGGCGCAAGCCUGAUGCAGCCAUGCCGCGUGUGUGAAGAAGGCCUUCGGGUUGUAAAGCACUUUCAGCGAGGAGGAAGGUGGUGAGCUUAAUACGCUCAUCAAUUGACGUUACUCGCAGAAGAAGCACCGGCUAACUCCGUGCCAGCAGCCGCGGUAAUACGGAGGGUGCAAGCGUUAAUCGGAAUUACUGGGCGUAAAGCGCACGCAGGCGGUUUGUUAAGUCAGAUGUGAAAUCCCCGGGCUCAACCUGGGAACUGCAUUUGAAACUGGCAAGCUAGAGUCUCGUAGAGGGGGGUAGAAUUCCAGGUGUAGCGGUGAAAUGCGUAGAGAUCUGGAGGAAUACCGGUGGCGAAGGCGGCCCCCCUGGANGAAGACUGACGCUCAGGUGCG